rnacentral:lncRNA from 1 species
CACGUCGAUGACUGCCGGUAUAUUAUAUAGGGAGUCUAUAUAUAUUAAAGGAGCAUAAUCAUAGUAUACAUGUAGAAUAACGCGAAAAUAAUUGUCCUGUCCCCGAGUAAUUAUGAAAAUUAUGUUUAAAAGUUUAAAGUCUUGUCUAUGACUUAAAAAAUCGACCUGAUGACUGACGGAAACAAUACACGGACGCCAUUUUUUCGUUUUUCUCCCAAAAUAACCCAAACUGAAUAAUCAUAAGAAUGGAUGACAAAUGCGACUAUGCAUGGUACCUAUAGGACACAGAGGGAUAAUGAUUCAUUUAUUGCGGAAAGAAGAGAAGCGACACACAAAAUGAGGUCUUCUCGUUUAAUAGUAUAAAUAAGUUCUCAUUUUAGAAAAGGAUGAAAGAAUGUUAAUUUUACAAGCGAGUUUACUCAUGUAAAUGCACAGUAUUGUUAUGUAGAUUGGUUCAAAGCUUUUGUCCGAUUGACGUAUUUUCAAAUUUUUCGUUAGCCUAAGAUAGAGAGACUUAAGAAACCAAACUUCGAAAAUUAACAGACGACGCCAUGGAAGAAAAAGAAAAGAGGAAGACGAACAGAAAAAUAUAUAAAGAAAGUACACAUUGAAUAUGUUUUGAGCACUCAAUCCUCCUCGUAACUUGUGAUAAUGUGCAGUGUCCGGGGGCGUUAAAUAAAACAUAAGAAUCAGCUACAAAUCAACAAAUCAACUCAUGAUCUGUACGAAACACAAAAAAAUAAACAACUAAGUAAACAUAAAAGCAAUAGACAAAAAGCACCGAUAUAACAGCGCAUACAUUUACCGAUAGCCUCAAAGCUUAUUACAACCAAUAAAUAAAUCAUGUUCUAUUAAAGCUUAAAGUAGCAAACAGUACACACUCAUUGGAUUUAGAGCAACGCGUCAUAAAAAGUCGCACGACCUUGUGAAUGUCAAAAUAUAGUAAACAGUAUCGAGAAGAUCUAUAGGGUCUUGUGUAUCAAUAAAUAUACAUACAUUGUAUCAAUUUUAUCUUCAUGCCUAAUCUAUCAUGUCCUGUGUUACAACUCUAGAUUCUACUGGCGAUGAAAGGUAACACUAGGCCACCGAACGUGAUUUUUUUUAGUUCAGUCUAGAUGACCGAGUGGUCUAGAGGGGUGGACACAGUGCAUGCUGAUCUGUCUCGAUAUCCCGAUAGCAUGAGUUUGAAUACGGUGAGGGAAAAACAACAAUUUUCAGAUUUAAAAAGCUGAUAUUUAGUUUGUACAAAAAAUAAUGAACAAAUUAUGAUUAGAA